rnacentral:misc_RNA from 1 species
GAAAAAAAAACAAAAAAAAAAGUCUUCUUCCUUCCUUUGGUUGCCGCCUCCCAUUUCCCUCUCCCUCACCAUGAUUAAAACCUCCAUUGAAGCCAUCUAAAUCUUCCCUUAAACCCUAAAUCUUUCCAUGAAAUCUUUAUAUCCCAUAACUAAAAUUUGUAUUUGAACUUUGAUAAGAAGGUUGGGAGCAAAUAAAUCAAGCAAAGUUGAAGAAUUGGAUAGACAAAUUCUGCUCACUUAAGGUAAGCUAAUCCAACUUCUCUUUUUAGUAUAUAUGAUGGAUUUAGGGUAGAAAUGAAUGAGAUUAUAUGGAGAAAUUGAAAAAUAUUGCAUGUUUAGGAAGAGAGGGAAUUUCAGCCAGCAUUGUGAAGAGUGUAAUUUGCAUCGCUUGAUUGGCUUGGAUAGGAAUAUGAACCUUAA